ensembl:lncRNA
GACCCCAAUUGUAGUGACCCCAUUGUGGUGACCCCAUAGAGAGGACCCCAUUGAGGUGACCCCAUAGAGAGGACCCCAUUGUAGUGACCCCAUUGAAGGGACCCCAAAAAGGGGACCCCAUUGAGGUGACCCCAUUGAGGUGACCCCAUAGAAAGUACCCAUAAGGGGACCCCAUUAUGGUGACCCCAUUGAGGUGAUCCCAUUGAGGUGACCCCAUUGUGAUGACCCCAUUGAAGGGACCCCAUAAAGGGGACCCCAUUGUAGUGACCCCAUUGAGGUGAUCCCAUAAAGGGGACCCUAUUGAGGUGACCCCAAUAUGGUGACCCCAUAAUGGGGACCCCAUUGUGGUGACCCCAUAAAGCAGACCCCACUGAGAGGACCCCAUAAAGGAAACCCCAUUGUGGUGACCCCAAUUGUAGUGACCCCAUUGUGGUGACCCCAUAGAGAGGACCCCAUUGAGGUGACCCCAUAGAGGGGACCCCAAAAAGGGGACCCCAUUGAGGUGACCCCAUCGUAGUGACCCCAUAAAGGGGACCCCAUAGAGAGGACCCCAUUGUAGUGACCCCAUUGUAGUGACCCCAUUACAGUGAUCCCAUAAAGGGGACCCCAUUAUGGUGACCCCAUAGAGGGGACCCCAUUGUAGUGACCCCAUUAUGGUGACCCCAAAAAGGGGACCCCAUAGAAGGUACCCCAUUAUGAUGACCCCAUAAAGGGGACCCCAUUGAGGUGACUCCAUAGAAGGGACCCCAAAAAGGGGACCCCAUUGAGGGGAACCCCAAUAUGGUGACCCCAUAAAGGGGACCCCGUAGAAGGGGACCCCAUUGUGGUGACCCCAUAAAGGGGAUCCCAUAGAAGGGACCCCAUAAAGGGGACCCUGUAGAAGGGAAUCCCAUUGUGGUGACCCCAUAAAGGGGACUCCAUUGAGGUGAUCCCACUGAGGUGACCCCAUUGGGGCGUCCCCAUAACGAUGUCCCCAUUGCGGCGACCCCAUUGCAGUGACCCCAUUGAGGUGACCCUAUUGUGGUGACCCCAUUGAGGUCACCCCACUGAAGUGACCCCAUUGAGGUGACCCCAUUGAGGUGACCCCAUAAAGAUGGCCCCAUAAAGACGUCCCCAUUGAGGUGGCCCCACUGAGGUGACCCCAUUGGGGUGACCCCAUAACGAUGUCCCCAUUGUGGUGACCCCAUAAAGACGUCCCCAUUGCGGCGACACCAUAACGAUGUCCCCAUUGCAGUGACCCCAUAACGAUGUCCCCAUAGUGGUGACCCCACUGAGGUGACCCCAUUGAGGUGACCCCAUAAAGAUGGCCCCAUAAAGACGUCCACAUUGAGGUGGCCCCACUGAGGUGACCCUAUUGGGGUGACCCCACUGAACUGACCCCAUUGAGGUGACCCCAUAAAGAUGUCCCUAUUGAGGUGACCCCAUUGUAUUGACCCCAUUAAGGUGACCCUAUUGGAGUGACCCCAUUGAGGUGACCCCAUUGGGGCGUCCCCAUAACGACGUUCCCAUCGCAGUGACCCCAUUGUGGUCACCCCAUUGAAGUGACCCCAUAACGAUGUCCCCAUUGCGGUGACCCCAUUGAGGUGACCCCAUUGGGGUGUCCCCAUAAAGAUGGCCCCAUAAAGACGUCCCCAUUGCAGUGACCCCAUUGCAGUGACCCCAUUGAAGUGACCCCAUUGAGGCGAUCCCAUUGGGACGACCCCAUAACGAUGUCCCCAUAGUGGUGACCCCAUUGAGGUGACCCCAUUGAGGUGACCCCAUUGAAGUGACCCCAUAACGAUGUCCCCAUUGUGGUGACCCCAUUGAGGUGACCCCAUAACGAUGUCCCCAUUUAAGUGACCCAAUAACGAUGUCCCCACUGAGGUGACCCCAUUGGAGUGACCCCAUUGAGGUGACCCCAUAAAGAUGUCCCCACUGCGGCGACCCCAUUGAGGUGACCCCACUGUGGUGACCCCAUUGAGGUGACCCCAUAACAACGUCCCCAUUGUGGCGACCCCAUUGAGGUGACCCCAUAAAGAUGUCCCCAUUGAGGUGACCCCAUUGCAGUGACCCCAUUGAGGUGACCCCAUUGAAGUGAUCCCACUGAGGUGACCCCACUGAGGUGACCCCAUAAAGUUGUCCCCAUUGAGGUGACCCCAUUGCAGUGACCCCACUGAAGUGACCCCAUUGAGGUGACCCCAUAAAGAUGUCCCCAUAGUGGUGACCCCAUUGAGGUGACCCCACUGAACUGACCCCAUUGGGGCGUCCCCAUAAAGAUGUCCCCAUUGCAGUGACCCUAUAGGGAUGACCCCAUUGCAGUGACCCCAUUGUGGUGACCCCAUUGGAGUGACCCCAUUGGGGCGUCCCCCUAAAGAUGUCCCUAUUGGGGUGACCCCAUUGAGGUGACCCCAUUGAGGUGACCCCAUUGAAGUGACCCCAUAACGAUGUCCCCAUUGCGGUGACCCCAUUGAGGUGACCCCACAGAGGUGACCCCAUUGAGGCAACCCCAUUGUGGUGACCCCAUAAAGAUGUCCCUAUUGUGGUGACCCCAUAAAGACGUCCCCAUUGCGGUGACCCCAUUGAGGUGACCCCAUUGAGGUGACCCCAUUGGGGUGACCCCAUAACGAUGUCCCCAUUGCAGUGACCCCAUAAAGUUGUCCCCAUUGCGGUGACCCCACUGAGGUGAUCCCAUAACGACGUCCCCAUUGCGGUGACCCCAUUGAGGUGACCCCACUGAGGUGACCCCAUAAAGUUGUCCCCAUUGCGGUGACCCCAUUGAGGUGACCCCAUUGAGGUGACCCCAUAAGUCUGCCCCAAAAAGGGGGCAUCCACCCUAUAACAGUGUCCAUCCACCCCAUAGCAGUGUCCCCACCCCAUAGCAACAUCCCCACCCCAUAGCCGUGUCCAUCCACCCCAUAGCAACAUCCUCACCCCAUAGCCGUGCCCCCACCCCAUAGCAACAUCCCCACCCCAUAGUCGUGCCCCCACCCCAUAGCCAUGUCCAUCCACCCCAUAGCCGUGUCCAUCCACCCCAUAACAACAUCCCCACCCCAUAGCCGUAUCCAUCCACCCCAUAACAGUGCCCCCACCCUAUAACAGUGCCCCCACCCCAUAGCAUCACCCCCACCCCAUAGCUGUGUCCAUCCACCCCAUAGCAACAUCCCCACCCCACAGCAACACCCCCACCCCAUAGCCACAUCCCCACCCCAUAGCCAUGUCCAUCCACCCCAUAGCAACACCCCCACCCCAUAGCAACGUCCCCACCCCAUAGCAUCACCCCC